AUAAAUUAUUUUUAUUGGACAUACGAUAACACUGAUAAAGGGAGAUCGGGUAAUUCAUUCCUUUUUAUUGUUACUUGAUAUAAAAUAGCUCUGCUUCAGGAUUAUACAUACGUAUAUAUAUAUUGAGAAUUAUACAUUAGCAGCUUCGCAAUGUAACUUUUUACUGUACGCCUACUCUUUGGCAUAUCUCGACAGUGUCAUUAUAGAUUCGUGUAAGAAACAACCCUUUUGAGCAAACGUCAAUGACACGAUGAAACGCCAUUCCUGUCUACAACUCAUUAGAGUGUAAGAUUUGCUCUUGUAUCGUUACAGUCCAGGUCCUUGACCUGUCCCAGUCCACCUCGUUGCCUGCCGCGUCCGUCAACACACUCCCUAUAUAUACACGAAUUGGCUGGUUCAAUCGCCUGUUUCUUUCCCUUGAUUCACGUCGAUUGAUAAUAUUCAAGAAUCAGUUUGGCUAUCCAAUAGCAACGGUAAUUUUCGUUGAAAAGUGAUAAUCAAGAAAAAAAUUCAAUUGACACUCGCGAAACCACGUUGCAGCGACGUUACACCGCCUGCACAGCCAAAAAGCGACGAGAAUCACCGGAGAUGGCCGAACGGCUGUCAGUUGUCGGCGAAAGCCGGCGCACAGCGCACGUGCGAGUAAAACAGUGACAGAUAGACGGAAAACGAGGAGGCUAAAGAGAGAACGAGUGAACAAGAAGGUUAGAAACGUGGCGUGCGCAAGUGGGAACGAGAACGAGGUAGGGCGGUGUAGGAAGAGGGGGGUCUGAGAAUCGACUGGACGUCGCGUCGUCGUGCACAUUCGUCGCGUUUUCACGGUCAGGCUUUAUCGAUCGUAGAAGGAGGGCGAAGGAGCGGAAGGAAAGGAGUUUCGGAGUGCAUCGAAAGGCCGUUGAACCCGGCCUUUCGGUAGUCGCGGCGUCCAUAAUGCAACGAUUGUUGUACCCACCCGCUCCAGCAGCUGCCGAACUCGUAACGCUCUUUUAACGAGUGCACCAAACCUGACCAAGUGAAAUAUUUCUGUCUACGAAUCCGGUUUCGACUUGUUCACGCCCUUCGUGGUUUUUCCAUGUAUCCCUAGAGAGAGCGAAAGGGAGACGAAGCACGGGGUGGUAGAAAGAAGGAACGCGAGAGAGGCGGUGUACCAUAUACACACUAUACACUAUAUACAUGGCUACGAGCGACAGAGUAAAACGAGUGAGAAAGAGAGACAGAGAUAGAGCGAGAAGUCGAGAGAGGCGACGCAUGUGCGAGCAACAACGAUGUAUUUCGGUGCAGCGCUCCAUACACCGCGUGGAGGUCAAUGCCCGUCCUUACUCCGGCCCAAGGAAGGAGCGGGAGGUUACGGUAGAAGGGAUAGAGGGGCUAGAGGUCGGAGAAGGGAGACACAGGGAGCAAGCACUGAGCGGAAAAAAUGAACAAACAUUCAGAAAGACCAGAAAAGGGAUGCAUGGAGUGCUCGUGCACUACUCCUCUCUACCCUUUCUUUGCUUCGUGUUAACUUUCAUUAAUUGACGAGCUAAAAUUUAUGCUUGAUUUGGACGGUCCCGUUUUAAAACGACGUCGCCCUUUCUCCAUUUAGUGUUCGCGUUCAGAAAACAAGUACGAUUUAACGUUUGUUAUUUACGAUUCCUUAAAAUAUAAUCACUAAGUAGAUUAUUCGUUAUUUAGGCAAUAUAUUAUAUAAGCAAUAUUCGUUAUUUCUAUCUUUCGAAUAUUAUUGAUCAUUUUGUGCAAUCA